rnacentral:rRNA from 1 species
CUACGGGCCGCUGCAGUGAGGAAUAUUGCACAAUGGAGGAAACUCUGAUGCAGCAACGCCGCGUGGAGGAUGACGCAUUUCGGUGUGUAAACUCCUUUUAUAUGUCAAGAAAAUGACGGUAGCAUAUGAAUAAGCUCCGGCUAACUCCGUGCCAGCAGCCGCGGUAAUACGGAGGGAGCAAGCGUUACUCGGAAUCACUGGGCGUAAAGGACGCGUAGGCGGGAUAGAAAGUCAGGUAUGAAAUCCUAUGGCUCAACCAUAGAACUGCACUUGAAACUUCUAACCUAGAGUAUGGGAGGGGAAGAUGGAAUUAGUGGUGUAGGGGUAAAAUCCGUAGAUAUCACUAGGAAUACCAAAAGCGAAGGCGAUCUUCUGGAACAAUACUGACGCUAAGGCGUGAAAGCGUGGGGAGCAAACAGGAUUAGAUACCCUCGUAGUC